UACAGAGGGUGCGAGCGUUAAUCGGAAUUACUGGGCGUAAAGCGCGCGUAGGCGGCUUUGCAAGUCGGGUGUGAAAUCCCCAGGCUUAACCUGGGAACUGCGUCUGAUACUGGGAGGCUUGAGUAUGGGAGAGGGAUGUAGAAUUCCAGGUGUAGCGGUGAAAUGCGUAGAUAUCUGGAGGAAUACCGGUGGCGAAGGCGGCAUCCUGGACCAUUACUGACGCUGAGGCACGAAAGCC
rnacentral:rRNA from 1 species